CCCUUAGAUGUUCUGGGCCGCACACGCGCUACACUGAAGGAGGCAGCGUGUACUCCUGGAUCGAAAGAUUUGGGUAACCCGCGAAUCUCCUUCGUGCUGGGGAUUGAGGUUUGCAAUUAUCCUUCAUGAACGAGGAAUUCCCAGUAAGUGCGAGUCAUUAUCUCGCGCUGACUACGUCCCUGCCCUUUGUACACACCGCCCGUCGCUACUACCGAUUGAAUGAUUUAGUGAGGACUUCGGACUGAGUCCAAUGCGGCUUUCGGGCUGCGUUGGUAUUUCGGAAAGAUGUCCAAACUGUAUCAUUUAGAGGAAGUAAAAGUCGUAACA
rnacentral:rRNA from 1 species